UACAGAGGGGGGCAAGCGUUUGUUCGGAAUUACUGGGCGUAAAGGGCGCGUAGGUGGCCUUCUAAGUUGAACGUGAAAUCCCUGGGCUCAACCCAGGAACUGCGUCCAAGACUGGGAGGCUUGAAUCCGGGAGAGGGAUGCGGAAUUCCAGGUGUAGCGGUGAAAUGCGUAGAUAUCAGGAAGAACACCCGUGGCUAAGGCGGCUCUCUAGUACGGUACUGACGCUGAGACGCGAAAGCGUGGGGAGCGAACAGG
rnacentral:rRNA from 1 species